rnacentral:rRNA from 1 species
AAGGCUGAGGUGUGAUGACGAGGCACUACGGUGCUGAAGUAACAAAUGCCCUGCUUCCAGGAAAAGCCUCUAAGCAUCAGGUAACAUCAAAUCGUACCCCAAACCGACACAGGUGGUCAGGUAGAGAAUACCAAGGCGCUUGAGAGAACUCGGGUGAAGGAACUAGGCAAAAUGGUGCCGUAACUUCGGGAGAAGGCACGCUGGUGUGUAGGUGAAGCCCCUGCGGGUGGAGCUGAGACCAGUCGAAGAUACCAGCUGGCUGCAACUGUUUAUUAAAAACACAGCACUGUGCAAACACGAAAGUGGACGUAUACGGUGUGACGCCUGCCCGGUGCCGGAAGGUUAAUUGAUGGGGUUAUCCGUAAGGAGAAGCUCUUGAUCGAAGCCCCGGUAAACGGCGGCCGUAACUAUAACGGUCCUAAGGUAGCGAAAUUCCUUGUCGGGUAAGUUCCGACCUGCACGAAUGGCGUAAUGAUGGCCAGGCUGUCUCCACCCGAGACUCAGUGAAAUUGAACUCGCUGUGAAGAUGCAGUGUACCCGCGGCAAGACGGAAAGACCCCGUGAACCUUUACUAUAGCUUGACACUGAACAUUGAGCCUUGAUGUGUAGGAUAGGUGGGAGGCUUUGAAGCGUGGACGCCAGUCUGCGUGGAGCCAACCUUGAAAUACCACCCUUUAAUGUUUGAUGUUCUAACGUUGGCCCCUUACCGGGGUUGCGGACAGUGUCUGGUGGGUAGUUUGACUGGGGCGGUCUCCUCCCAAAGCGUAACGGAGGAGCACGAAGGUUAGCUAAUCCUGGUCGGACAUCAGGAGGUUAGUGCAAUGGCAUAAGCUAGCUUGACUGCGAGCGUGACGGCGCGAGCAGGUGCGAAAGCAGGUCAUAGUGAUCCGGUGGUUCUGAAUGGAAGGGCCAUCGCUCAACGGAUAAAAGGUACUCCGGGGAUAACAGGCUGAUACCGCCCAAGAGUUCAUAUCGACGGCGGUGUUUGGCACCUCGAUGUCGGCUCAUCACAUCCUGGGGCUGAAGUAGGUCCCAAGGGUAUGGCUGUUCGCCAUUUAAAGUGGUACGCGAGCUGGGUUUAGAACGUCGUGAGACAGUUCGGUCCCUAUCUGCCGUGGGCGCUGGAGAAUUGAGGGGGGCUGCUCCUAGUACGAGAGGACCGGAGUGGACGCAUCACUGGUGUUCGGGUUGUCAUGCCAAUGGCACUGCCCGGUAGCUAAAUGCGGAAGAGAUAAGUGCUGAAAGCAUCUAAGCACGAAACUUGCCCCGAGAUGAGUUCUCCCUGAGACUUUAAGUCUCCUGAAGGAACGUUGAAGACGACGACGUUGAUAGGCCGGGUGUGUAAGCGCAGCGAUGCGUUGAGCUAACCGGUACUAAUGAACCGUGAGGCUUAACCUU